GUGGAGCAUGUGGCUUAAUUUGACUCAACGCGGGGAAUCUUACUAGGUCCGGACCGAUUCUAUGAUCGUCGUACUGUGGGGUGCUACGUGAUUACUGGAUGAGUGGUGCAUGGCCGUUCUUAGUUCGUGGUGUCAGUUGUCUACUUAAUUGUCAUUGGUUCUCGUAUCUUACGGUACAGAACUGAUAACGAACGAGAUCGAGGCCCGUGGUUGUGUCGUUGGUUAUUAUUGUGUGCGGCAUUAACCACAGGGAUCGCGUAAUACUCCACGGUACGAUCGAAAGACUCGGCAAUAACAGGUCUGUGAUGCCCUCAGAUGUUCUAGGCUGCACACGUGCUACAUUGUGGUUUCGCGUAGUGUGUGUGUGCAUAGAACUGAUAAGAUCCCCCGCACCGAGUCUCAAUUAAUCACUUGGUUGGACUCACCGUUUGUAAUUAUUCGGUAUACUAACUAGGAAUGCCUCGUACCGGGUAUGGUUCAACGAGACCCCCUGGAAUCCGUCCCUGCCCUUUGUACACACCGCCCGUCGCUCUUACCGAUGGGCGUGGUUUUUAGUUGUGGUGACCGUUCUAUGAACGUAACCCACCGCUCGCAACCACGCCUAAAGGAAAGAGAAGUCGUAACAAGGCAUCG
rnacentral:rRNA from 1 species